ACACCUCUCUCUCUCUCUCUCUCUCUCUCUCUCUCUCUCAUACAAUCAAUGCCCAGAUGGCCAUUCUCUGCCUUUGUGAAAACAACAAAGAAAACAUCCAGCAUUUGUCAAAGCAAGCCAGCAAAAUUGAAGCAAUGUCUAAAAUUCCAGCCAAGAGAAGAAGAACCAGACAUCCUCUAGAAGACAUCACCAAUUUCUUCCACCCACCACCACCACCUACCCAGUCAACUCCAAUCUCAAACACCACAGAACUUUUUGUUUCUCACCGAAAAUUGGUCCACAAUCCGGUGCAACGAAAGCGGAGAGUUGAGAAUGUCCCUGGCUUCUCAAUUCAGAUGAAUGUGGCUCGUGUCCCUGAGGAAGGGUUUUAGAUAGUCCACUAGUCAUUUCCCAGUAAUGCGAACAUAGUUUCUUGUGUCUUUUUCUUGUUUCAUUGACAACUAUUUUUUUGUGUGUGGGCAUCUGCUUGAGCAAACAUCAUUUUGGGUGAAUACCCCCUAAAUCACUGCAUUUUUAGUACACAUUAAUGCUUACAUUCGAUCAAAUUAUGGUCAUAUUUGGCAUGAAUUGGCCACUAUUUUUUUCUCUGUUAUAGUACUUCUUCCUGGAAAUAAAAUACUUGGAAAAAAAGAAGCAAUGAACAUGCGUGUUUCUUUCAAUUUUAGGCU
rnacentral:lncRNA from 1 species